AAAGUACUCUCUCAGUCCCAUAUUAAGUGAUUUUGAAUUACAUGCAUCUAGAAGCUUAUUAGGUAUAGAUUCAUCCAUAUUUAGACAAAUUUGAGUCAUUUAAUACGGGAAGGAGGGAGUAGUAC
rnacentral:pre_miRNA from 1 species